rfam:Oryza barthii chromosome 2, whole genome shotgun sequence.
AAAAAGACAAACACUAGGUUUCCAUGUCUAACAUUGACUGUUUGUCUUAUAUAAAAUUUUUUAUAGUUCGUAUUUUCAUUGUUGUUAGAUGAUAAAACAUGAUUAAUAUUUUAUGCGUGACUUAUCUUUUUAAUUUUUUUCAUAAUUUUUUAAAUAAGACGGACGGUCAAAUGUUGAGCACGAAAAUCAGGGUUUGUCUUUUU